UACGGAGGGGCUAGCGUUGUUCGGAAUUACUGGGCGUAAAGCGCACGUAGGCGGCUUUGUAAGUUAGAGGUGAAAGCCCGGGGCUCAACUCCGGAAUUGCCUUUAAGACUGCAUCGCUAGAAUCGUGGAGAGGUAAGUGGAAUUCCGAGUGUAGAGGUGAAAUUCGUAGAUAUUCGGAAGAACACCAGUGGCGAAGGCGACUUACUGGACACAUAUUGACGCUGAGGUGCGAAAGCGUGGGAGCAAACAGG
rnacentral:rRNA from 1 species